GCAACAAGGCGAAACAAGUGCGGCAUCGUUCCAUUAAAGAAAUUAAUGGCGAACAAAAAAUAAGGGUGCUGCAAGCUGGACCUGGCGAGAAAAUCGAAAAGAGGGCUUGGGUGGGUAAUUAAAAAUGAUCGGAAAGUUGAGCCAACAUAAUGAUGUGCUUAGCACAAGUAGAGUGCAGCUGCCCGGUUGCCAGUUCCGUGCCCAUUGCCCAGUGAAAAUGAUUUGCUCAUUGGGCAGAAGAGAUGACGAUGACCCAACAAGUUGUUGAGUGCUCAAGGACCUGUGCCAAUAUUUGGGUCAACAAGUUGGAGCUCACAUCUGGAGUACACAAAAGCAAUAAAAAUGGGGCAAGAACUAAAGGUGAACAAGGAUAGAUGAGGUGCAUUUGAACUACAUAUAUGUAUGCUCUAGUGC
ensembl:ncRNA lncRNA:CR44346 long non-coding RNA:CR44346